AGUGAACGCUGGCGGCAGGCCUAACACAUGCAAGUCGAACGGCAGUUCAGUAAGAGCUUGUUCUUACGGGUGGCGAGUGGCGGACGGGUGAGGAAUACAUCGGAAUCUACUUUUUCGUGGGGGAUAACGUAGGGAAACUUACGCUAAUACCGCAUACGACCUACGGGUGUAAGCAGGGGAGCUUCGGACCUUGCGCGAUUGAAUGAGCCCAUGUCGGAUUAGCUAGUUGGCGGGGUAAAGGCCCACCAAGGCGACGAUCCGUAGCGGGUCUGAGAGGAUGAUCGGCCACACUGGAACUGAGACACGGUCCAGACUCCUACGGGAGGCAGCAGUGGGGAAUCUUCGACAAUGGGCGAAAGCCUGAUCCAGCCAUGCCGCGUGGGUGAAGAAGGCCUUCGGGUUGUAAAGCCCUUUUGUUAGGAAAGAAAAGCAGCAGGUUAAUACCCCGCUGUUCUGACGGUACCCAACGAAUAAGCACCGGCUAACUUCGUG
rnacentral:rRNA from 1 species